rnacentral:rRNA from 1 species
GUCUACGGCCAUGCCACCCUGAACAAGCCCGAUCCCAUCUGAUCUCGGAAGCUAAGCAGGGUUGGGCCUGGUUAGUACUUGGAUGGGAGACCGCCAAGGAAGACCAGGUGUUGUAGGCG